rnacentral:rRNA from 1 species
AUGGUGCAGUAUAAUUUCAAGAAAAUCAUUGUUUUCCCUCCCGAGAAGGACUUCAUCGACAUAAUCUUGUCCCGCACUCAGAGGCAAACACCGACUGUUGUCCACAAGGGCUAUGCUAUCAACCGCAUUUGCCAGUUCUAUAUGCGCACGGAUCACUACAAACUUUCCUUGGGGCAGAUCAAUACGGCUCGCAAUAUCAUUGCAAAGAUCUCCAAGGAUUAUCUGAGGCUGCUCAAGUAUGGAGACACCCUGUACCGGUGCAAGUGCCUGAAGGUAGCUGCAUUAGGUCGCAUCUGUACUGUUCUAAAGGGUAUCAGUCCUAGUUUGGCAUACCUGGAGCAGAUCAGGCAGCACAUGGCCAGGCUUCCAUCAGUUGACCCAAACACCCGUACUAUCUUGAUUUGUGGCUAUCCAAAUGUUGGGAAGAGCUCUUUCAUGAACAUGGUUACAAGGGCGGAUGUGGAUGUACAGCCUUAUGCUUUCACAACAAAAUCCCUUUUUGUUGGGCAUGCGGAUUACAAAUAUCUUCGAUACCAAGUGAUUGACACUCCAGGGAUCCUUGAUCGGCCUUUUGAGGACUGGAACAUCAUAGAAAUGUGCAGUAUCACCGCUCUUGCCCACUUGAGGGCUGCUGUGCUGUUCUUCUUGGACUUCUCUAGGUCUUGUGGUAUUAAAUCCUUGUUCAUGAAUAAGCCUCUGGUCAUUGUGUGCAACAAGACUGAUUUGCAGCCGCUUGAUGGGCUUUCCGAAGAGGACAUGAAUAUGAGUGCUUUAAUGGAUGAGGGUGUGAUGGCUGUUAAAAAUGCUGCAUGUGAGAGGCUUCUUGAGCAGAGAGUGGAGAUCAAGAUGAAGUCAAAGAAGAUCAAUGACUGCUUAAAUAGGUUUCAUGUUGCUAUGCCCAAGCCUCGUGACAACAGUGCUGGUGUCUAUUCCGCCAGUCUCAAGAAGCAUUACUUAUUGGCCAAUGAUGAAUGGAAGGAAGAUAUUUCCCCUGGAAUAUUGGAUGGGCAUAAUGUUGCUGAUUUCCUGGAUCCGGAUAUCUUGGAAAGGUGUGAAGAAAUGGAAAGGGAGGAGGGCCUUCGUCUUGAAGAAGAAGCUGCUCAGGAUGCUUUCAUGAUUGAUGGACAUGACGAAUUAACUGAAGAGCAACGUGAGAUAUUGGGUAAGAUAAGGAAGAAGAAGGCAAUGCUCAUCCAAGAGCAUAGGAUGAAGAAGAGUACUGCAGAGAGCCGAAAUUCACAACCAAGAGAUUGCAGGCAACUCACAUCCAUGGGUGUUGAUCCUACUGCGGCUGUGAACCGACUUCGCAACCAGUCAAGAGGCCGUAAGCGUGAGAGGUCACUGAGCAGAGCUGAUGGUGAUGACGCCAUGGACGUUGAUGGCCAGCAUUCCGACAAGAAACUGCGUACAAUGUCGAGGUCUAGGUCCAAAUCACGACCAAUUGAAGAGGUCGUACCAGAAGUCGAGGGACUCUGUCAAGAACAGGAACAAGGAGGUCGCCGUGGAGAGGCGGACCGCGUCAUCCCCACCUUGAAACCGAAGCAUCUCUUCUCUGAAAAACGAGGCAUUGGAAAGACCAGCAGGCGCUAA